rnacentral:rRNA from 1 species
UAGCGUAUAUUUAAGUUGUUGCGGUAAAAAAGCUCGUAGUUGGAUUUCUGUCGGGUGCCGGCGGUCCAAACCAUGUUUGUGCAUCUGCUUGGCGCUCGACAUCCUGUUGCGGAGCGUUUCUGCGCUUGAUUGCGUGGAGCGUACUGCAGCACUUUUACUUUGAGGAAAUUAGAGUGUUCACGGCAGGCUGUCGCCAGAAUACGUUAGCAUGGAAUAAUACUAUAGGAUUCCGAUCCUAUUUUGUUGGUUUCUAGGUUCGGAAUAAUGAUUAAUAGGGACAAUUGGGGGCAUUUGUACGAUCGCGUC